AAAAAAUUGGGAGAGUGCCGGUUGUUGCUAUAUAAAGCAGUGGAAGCUUCACUGGAAUCUGUUCGUCAAGGUGGGGAACUGAUCGAUGAAAGGCUUGCCGCCAUUGGAGCACAUAGGGAGGCAAUGGGUGGUAUAAAUAAUUGAGCAGGGUUGAGCAUAUGAAUCUGCUAAGAGUUGGGAACCAGAGUUCCGAUGUAACCGACCCCGGCGAUGAAGAAAGCAAAUGACUGAAGGAAGAGGUAGAUGAAGUAUCGGUUCUUCCCGAAGUUGAGAUCAUAGCAGCCGCAGAAGAAGAGAUAGGCUCCAACACAAAGCUCAAGCAGAUGGAGUCUGUUCAUCCACAAUCAGAAAGAAGAAGAUUUUACCUUUCUCCGAAUCUAAACUGAGGUUUCCAGGGAGUUUUGGAACCUAGUUUAGUCUUUAGUGCAUCUCCCAAUUUCUCGGUGACGACCCAUUCAUUUACUCUCCCUGCUUCCAACAGACCGAUGAAUGUUGCCUUUGUUCGGUGCAGCGACAUGACAUUCUCGAAAAGGAUCCAGAAAAUGAUCAGGUGGAAUGAUCUGCAAUUCAAGAUUGUCAAUCAAAACGGUAAGUAUCAGUGUAGAGUUUUUUAUAUUCAUCAACUGGAGGUGAAAAUGCUAGAACUUCUAGUUCUAACAAAUUAGAAAGAAUGUCCCUCGACUCUUGGUUUCUAGUUCUAACAGGUAAGAAGAUGACCUUGGUGUUCCGACUGCAUUUAGGAGGGUGAUCAUAGAAGGAAUAUAAACGGCACCCCAUUUUGGUACCGAUACUUCAGGAACCAAGACGGUAGCUGGCAAAACAACACAAUAAAAUACAAACGUGACAAUAUGGGCGACGAUCUUCCGAACAAAGAAGAAGCUGUAGAUCAGGUAAAGCUUUUUCCACAGGGAGACUUUCUGCAGGCACAUAGAAAGCUAAUGGUGAGGAGAUGACAAUCCAACAAAUGAAAGCAACAUAUCAAAGGAAUACUCAAACCAUGCCUUGUUCCUCAUGAUUUCAACAACCAUCUUUUUGAAGAGGUUCGCCGGGCCACAAGACCAUCGGUGUUGCUGAUAUUGGUAAGCUUUGAAGGUACUAGGCAAUUCAUUCUUCACCUGAAACAACUCAUUUACAUUUACUAUUGCUUAAGAACUGAAAAAACUAGCAAGAUUAAUCCCAUUUCCCACUUUUAUAAUCUUA